rnacentral:rRNA from 1 species
GAGCUCAAAUUUAAAAUCUGGCGUCUUUCAGGCGUCCGAGUUGUAAUCUAUAGAGGCGUUUUCCGCGCCGGACCGCGUCCAAGUCUCUUGGAAUAGAGUAUCAAAGAGGGUGACAAUCCCGUACUUGACGCGACAACCGGUGCUCUGUGAUACGUUCUCAAUGAGUCGAGUUGUUUGGGAAUGCAGCUCUAAAUGGGUGGUAAAUUCCAUCUAAGGCUAAAUAUUGGCGAGAGACCGAUAGCGAACAAGUACCGUGAGGGAAAGAUGAAAAGCACUUUGGAAAGAGAGUUAAACAGCACGUGAAAUUGUUAAAAGGGAAACGAUUGAAGUCAGUCGUGUGAAAGGUAUUCAGCCGUCUCUGGCGGUGUAUUUGCCUUUCACGGGUCAACAUCAGUUUGAUCCGGUAGAAAAAGGCGGGAGGAAGGUGGCACCCUCGGGUGUGUUAUAGCCUCCUGUCAUAUGUGCCGGACCAGACUGAGGAACGCAGCUUGCCGCAAGGCCGGGGUUCGCCCACGUACAAGCUUAGGAUGUUGACAUAAUGGCUUUAAACGACCCGUCUUGAAACAC